rnacentral:rRNA from 1 species
AUGUUUCUUUUUGUCGGAAACAAAACAGGCUCGUGCACCUGUUUUCCUUUUCCCCUUCGAUGGGGUCGUUCAGUUGAGGUGAAGCAAGCAAGCACCUCCCCGUGCCUUGCAUACCAAGGAGAGAGCGAGCCAUUGCAGAGGAGAGGGGAUACGAGGGUGGGCGGAGGCCAGGCAUUGCUAACAGAUUUGCGGCGGAGCGGGAAGCCGGCGCCUCACCACUGGCUCCUGUUUGGCGGUGGCAAAGGGAAAGCUGCCGAGGAUGUGUUGCUCUAUGCACGGCUGUCGAAUUUUCUGUGGCUUUCUCCAUUAGAAUGUUUCUCCUCAACGACCAAAUCAACCUGUCUGGUGUUCGCACAUGUCAUUUUGGUUGAGGUUACUGCCAUUCCACCUCUUCCUCGUGAUGGUAUAGGAGUACACACUAAUUCGAUAAAUAAGAGGCGAAGUUGCCAACGCCUGAGAUAG